rnacentral:rRNA from 1 species
CGCGGGAUUCGGGGGGACGGGGCGCAGCAGGCGCGAAACCUUUACAAUGCACGAAAGUGUGAUAAGGGAACCCAAAGUGCUUUACUAUGUAAGGCUUUUGCCAAGUGUAAAUAGCUUGGAGAAUAAGUGGUGGGAAAGACUGGUGCCAGCCGCCGCGGUAACACCAGCGCCACAAGUGGCAAUCAUUUUUAUUUGGCCUAAAGCGUCCGUAGCUGGUUAAUUAAAUCCCUUGUGAAAUCGUUUGGCUUAACCAAACGGCGGGCAGGAGAGACUGAUUAGCUAGAGACCGGGAGGAGUCAGAGGUAUGCUGGGGGGAGCGGUAAAAUGCUAUAAUCCCCGGUAGACCACCUGUGGCGAAGGCGUCUGACUAGAACGGGUCUGACAGUGAGGGACGAAAGCCAGGGGAGCAAACCGGAUUAGAUACCCGAGUAGUCCUGGCUGUAAACUCUGCGAGCUAGGUGUCGCGUAUUCUCCGUGAAUACGCGGUGUCGGAGCGAAGGUGUUAAGCUCGCCGCCUGGGAAGUAUGGUCGCAAGACUGAAACUUAAAGGAAUUGGCGGGGGAGCACAACAAGGGGUGCGGCGUGCGGUUUAAUCUAACUCCACACAGAGAAUCUCACCAGAAGCAACGGCAGGAUGAAGAUCAGUCUGAAGGGCUUAUCUGACGAGCCGAGAGGUAGUGCAUGGCCGCCGUCAGCUCGUGCCGUAAGGUGUCCUGUUAAGUCAGGCAACGAGCGAGACCUGUAUCCACAAUUGCUAACGACUCAUUUUGAGAAUCGAGCACAUUGUGGGGACUGCCUUGGAAACAAGGAGGAAGGUGCAGGCAACGGUAGGUCUGUAUGCUCCGAAUCUUCUGGGCUACACGCGCGCAACAAUGGUGCAGACAAUGGGUUGCGACUCCGAAAGGAGAAGCUAAACCUCGAAACUGCAUCUAAGUUCAGAUUGAGGAUUGUAACCCAUCCUCAUGACGCUGGAAUCCCUAGUAAUCGAAUAUCAUCAGUGUUCGGUGAAUAUGUCCCUGCUCCUUGCACGAGUUCGCCGAAUCACUAGU